rnacentral:rRNA from 1 species
UACGUAGGGGGCAAGCGUUGUCCGGAUUUAUUGGGCGUAAAGAGCGUGUAGGCGGUCAGGUAGGUCCGUUGUGAAAACUCGAGGCUCAACCUCGAGACGCCGAUGGAAACCAUCUGACUAGAGUCCGGAAGAGGAGAGUGGAAUUCCUGGUGUAGCGGUGAAAUGCGCAGAUAUCAGGAAGAACACCCGUGGCUAAGGCGGCUCUCUAGUACGGUACUGACGCUGAGACGCGAAAGCAUGGGGAGCAAACAGG